GCCUGGUGGUUCCUAGAGUCAGCCGUUUAAUGCUGGACUUCAGGUUUGUUAAACAGGCACAUAUUGAUUCUGCGAUUUUAUGCAUGGAAGCUGCAACUAUAGCAGCCUUCCAUAGCCCGGUUGCAGAUACAUUU
rnacentral:snoRNA from 1 species